rnacentral:rRNA from 1 species
UACGGAGGGUGCGAGCGUUGUCCGGAAUCAUUGGGCGUAAAGGGCGCGUAGGUGGCCCGGUCAGUUCGUGGUGAAAGCGCGGGGCUCAACUCCGCGUCGGCCAUGAAUACUGCUGGGCUUGAGCACUGUAGAGGCAGGCGGAAUUCCGGGUGUAGCGGUGGAAUGCGUAGAUAUCGGAAGGAACACCUGUGGCGAAAGCGGCGCACUGGACCAAAACUGACGCUGAGGCGCGAAAGCUAGGGGAGCAAACAGG